rnacentral:rRNA from 1 species
UGUCUAUAUGGUAAAUGUGAGAUGCAGUGUAUGGAAUGUCAAAUUUCUAGUAUGAGAAAUUAACGAUUUAAGUCCUUCUUAAAUGAGGCCAUUUACCCAAAGAGGGUGCCAGGCCCGUAUAACGUUAAUGAUUACUAGAUGACAUUUCCAAAGAGUCGUGUUGCUUGAUAGUGCAGCACUAAGUGGGUGGUAAACUCCAUCUAAAACUAAAUAUAACCAUGAGACCGAUAGUAAACAAGUACCGUGAGGGAAAGUUGAAAAGAACUCUGAAUAGAGAGUUAAAUAGUACGUGAAACUGCUUAGAGGUUAAGCCCGAUGAACCUGAAUAUCCAUUAUGGGAAAUUCAUCAUUAUGAUUUUAAUAUUUAUAAUAUUAUAAUAAUGGUGUGCAUUUUUUCCAUAUAAGGACAUUGUAAUCUAUUAACUAAAAAGAUUUAUCAUAAGGUCAAUUGCUAUAGUUUAUUCAAAUUAUUUUGCUUGCAAUUUAACAUAGAAUAAAUGCUGUUGAUUUGAUAAAGUGUUGAUAGAUUUAUUAUAUAUAGUGCUUGAAUAUAUUUAUAUAUUCUGUAAUAGCGUAUUGAUCAAUGAUUUUUAUGUUCAUUAUAUGCACUUAUAUGAUUAACAAUGCGAAAGAUUCAGGAUACCUUCGGGACCCGUCUUGAAACACGGACCAAGGAGUCUAACAUAUUUGCAAGUUAUUGGGAAUUAAAAACCUAAUAGCAAAAUUAACAUAACUUAUAUAAUGGGAUUAGUUUUUUAGCUCUAUUUUAUAGACUAUUAAUUCAAUCCCGGGGCGUUCUAUACAGUUAUGCAUAAUAAUAUUUAUAUUAUUUAUGCCUCUAACUAGAGCGUACCUUGAGCAUAUAUGCUGUGACCCGAAAGAUGGUGAACUAUACUUGAUCAGGUUGAAGUCAGGGGAAACCCUGAUGGAAGACCGAAACAGUUCUGACGUGCAAAUCGAUUGUCAGAAUUGAGU